rnacentral:rRNA from 1 species
GACGUAGGGGGCAAGCGUUGUUCGGAAUUAUUGGGCGUAAAGCGCUCGUAGGCGGGACUGGAAGUCCGUGUUGAAAGACCUCGGCUCAACUGAGGGACCGGCUCGGAUACUCUAGUUCUUGAGGCAAUCAGAGGGUGAUGGAAUUCCCGGUGUAGCGGUGAAAUGCGUAGAUAUCGGAAGGAACACCAGUGGCGAAAGCGGCUUCCUGGUCCGACACCGACGUUCAGGCACGAAAGCGUGGGGAGCAAACAGG